rnacentral:rRNA from 1 species
UACGGAGGGGGCUAGCGUUGUUCGGAAUUACUGGGCGUAAAGCGCACGUAGGCGGCUUUGUAAGUUAGUGGUGAAAGCCCGGGGCUCAACUCCGGAAUUGCCUUUAAGACUGCAUCGCUAGAAUUGUGGAGAGGUAAGUGGAAUUCCGAGUGUAGAGGUGAAAUUCGUAGAUAUUCGGAAGAACACCAGUGGCGAAGGCGACUUACUGGACACAUAUUGACGCUGAGGUGCGAAAGCGUGGGGAGCAAACAGG